CACGUAGGGUGCGAGCGUUGUCCGGAAUUAUUGGGCGUAAAGAGCUCGUAGGCGGUGUGUCGCGUCGGCCGUGAAAACCUGCAGCUUAACUGUGGGCUUGCGGUCGAUACGGGCAUCACUGGAGUUCGGCAGGGGAGACUGGAAUUCCUGGUGUAGCGGUGAAAUGCGCAGAUAUCAGGGAGGAACACCGGGUGGGCGAAAGG
rnacentral:rRNA from 1 species